GAUGUGAUGACCCCUUGGCCGACGCGUCUCACUGAGACAAUACGAUGCGAAUGGUAACCCGUCGUUGACAUGUGAGAUGACACUGUCAUGCGAUAGAGCGAAGAAACGUCAUCAGAGGCUGGAUGACUAUGCAAUUUACCCGAGAAAGAAAAACGAUUGAAGUUGUGCUUGGUUUGAAAUCUUAUUACUAGAAUGUAUCUAUAAUUCUAUCUAUUACCUAACGUAAUCCUGUGCACCGAAUUAGCCAGCGAUUCAGGAGAAUUCAGAUGGUUGUUUAGAUAGCAAAGUCCAAAAGCUAAAAUAAUUGGACAGCAGUUAAUUAAACGUUUAAUACGGUAUUCACCGAAAUAGCCGAAGAUCAACUUGUAAGAACAAGGUUCCGAGCAACAAAGAAGAAGCAGAAGAAAGAAGUACUGCGAACUAUAAGAAAAGAACUAAAUGUAAUACGGUAACUUAAACGAAAAACAUGAAGAAACUAAACCCUGUUUGUUAUU